AUGCGACGCGGACGGGGUCUACGGCGCCAGCGGGAUGGCUUCCCGUUCAGCCGCGACCAGUGCCCAUGUAGCUGCAGGGCGCUUGCCGCGUAUGGCACCUCGACGAUCCAUAUAGGCGGCGACGCCCCUGAAGGUCGAUCUAGCGCCGGUGCCGGUGCCGUUACUAUGUCCUGUGCCCAAGUCGCUACACGGCGCGAGCGGCUCCCUCGUGGGCGUGCCGAACCGAGGGAUCGACGAAGGGCUCGCGGACUAGGAUGCGCCUGGCGCGACAGAAUACCUGACGGGCAUGCUCAAGGUCGCCGCACAAUACGCGGCAAGAUCCCAUCCUAG
rnacentral:rRNA from 1 species